CUACGGGCUGCUGCAGUGAGGAAUAUUGCACAAUGGGGGGAACCCUGAUGCAGCAACGCCGCGUGGAGGAUGACGCAUUUCGGUGUGGAAAAGGGGGUUAUAUGUCAAGAAAAUGACGGUAGCAUAUGAAUAAGCACCGGCUAACUCCGUGCCAGCAGCCGCGGUAAUACGGAGGGUGCAAGCGUUACUCGGAAUCACUGGGCGUAAAGGACGCGUAGGCGGGUUGGAAAGUCAGGUGUGAAAUCCUACAGCUUAACUGUAGAACUGCACUUGAAACUUCUAAUCUAGAGUAUGGGAGGGGGAGAUGGAAUUAGUGGUGUAGGGGUAAAAUCCGUAGAUAUCACUAGGAAUACCUAAAGCGAAGGCGAUCUCCUGGAACAUUACUGACGCUAGGGCGUGAAAGCGUGGGGAGCAAACAGGAUUAGAUACCCCUGUAGUC
rnacentral:rRNA from 1 species